rnacentral:tRNA from 1 species
GGCCCCGUAGCUCAGUGGUAGAGCAGGACACUCUUAAUGUCUUGGUCGUUGGUUCAAAUCCAACCGGGGUCA